rnacentral:tRNA from 1 species
GCGCGUCGUAGUCUAGCCUGGUUUAGGACAUUACUUUGAAAGCCAAUAACCCGGUUUAAAUCCCGGCGACCGCACCA